GAACGCGAAGAACCUUACCUGGUCUUGACAUGUACGGAAUCCUCCAGAGACGGAGGAGUGCCUUCGGGAGCCGUAACACAGGUGCUGCAUGGCUGUCGUCAGCUCGUGUCGUGAGAUGUUGGGUUAAGUCCCGCAACGAGCGCAACCCUUGUCAUUAGUUGCCAUCAUUUAGUUGGGCACUCUAAUGAGACUGCCGGUGACAAGCCGGAGGAAGGUGGGGAUGACGUCAAGUCCUCAUGGCCCUUAUGACCAGGGCUUCACACGUCAUACAAUGGUCGGUACAGAGGGUAGCCAAGCCGCAAGGUGGAGCCAAUCUCACAAAACCGAUCGUAGUCCGGAUUGCACUCUGCAACUCGAGUGCAUGAAGUCGGAAUCGCUAGUAAUCGCAGGUCAGCAUACUGCGGUGAAUACGUUCCCGGGUCUUGUACACACC
rnacentral:rRNA from 1 species